GCCCUUGUAGCUCAGUAGGAACGAACGUCAGAUUGAAGAUCUGGAGGUCCCUGGUUCGAUUCCAGGUAAGGGCA
rnacentral:tRNA from 1 species